CAAGGUGUAAUUAAGACCACAGCCAAUCCUGAAGUUUCAGAUUUCAUUACAAGUGUCAGCUCCAGAUAUGAAAAGCUCAAUUCAGAUGUGAAGGCCAUGAUUCAGAGGUCAGAGCAGCAUGUUGGUGUUCAUCAACAGUACCAGACCAGUAUGCAGGCUGCAGUGGACUGGCUGUCAUCAAUGAAAGAC
rnacentral:sRNA from 1 species